rnacentral:rRNA from 1 species
UACGGAGGGUGCAAGCGUUAUCCGGAUUCACUGGGUUUAAAGGGUGCGUAGGUGGGCAGGUAAGUCAGUGGUGAAAUCUCCGGGCUUAACCCGGAACUGCCGUUGAUACUAUCUGUCUUGAAUAUCGCGUAGGUAAGCGGAAUAUGUCAUGUAGCGGUGAAAUGCUUAGAUAUGACAUAGAACACCAAUUGCGAAGGCAGCUUACUUCACGAAUCAUUGACACUGAGGCACGAAAAGCGUGGGGAGCAAACAGG